rnacentral:rRNA from 1 species
AAGCUCGUAGUUGAAUUUCGUGGUCAGUAGGUUGGUCGUGCCACCGGUACGUACUGGUCUCACUGAUUCCUCCUUCCUGAUGAGCUGUAAUGCCAUUAAUUUGGUGUUGCAGGGAAUCUGGACUGUUACUUUGAAAAAAUUAGAGUGUUUAAAGCAGGCUAACGCUUGAAUACAUUAGCAUGGAAUAAUGAAAUAGGACGUUCGAUCCUAUUUUGUUGGUUUCUAGGAUUGACGUAAUGAUUAAUAGGGAUAGUUGGG